rnacentral:tRNA from 1 species
GCCGGUAUAGUCUAGUGGUUAUGACGUCUGCCUUACACGCAGAACGUCGCGAGUUCAAUCCUCGCUCCUGGUA